UUAACUAAUCAAUUUUUGAAAAGGAAAAGGAUUUCUUUUUAGAAGAAGUAAUUUUACUGGUCUUCUAUAUGAAGGGACUUUACUAUCAAUAAACAAUGUUUUAAUACCCAUAAAGAGCUGAAACAUUUUGGCCUUAAUAGGGCUAAUUAAGGCAAAAACGGUUUUCCCAUUAUAGUGCCAUUAAGGUAGAAGUAAUGACCAAAAACGUUUGUCUUUUCUCCUCCCCUCUUCAAUGGAAGAUUGAGAUAAAUAAGGGUGUUUUUUUCAGCAGAAGAUUAUCCUUUUCAAGAAAAAAAGCCACUUGACCACACUAGUGUUGAUUAAAAGAGUUAAUCAUGAAGUAGUAGAAAACAGCAGGCCUGGCAAACAAGGUGUUGAACGAACUGUGCGAAAGCUUCCAGAGUCAUAUAAUGAUACAAGACAAAUGGCCACCUUAGCUUUUGAUGACAUCUUUGGAGGCUAACACCUAAAGGCUCAAGACUUGGUCACCCCGAGAGCACAAGGAUAUGCAAGGAAGGCCCAUUUUGAGCAUGACUUAAAUCAAUCCCGUGUGUGGAAGGUUUCUUGGAUUCUUACAUUGUUGUUAACCCGAGGACCAUAAUCCUUGAAGUAUAAACCGUCCUCAAUUUUGAGAGCAUUAAAGAGGUGCCAUUUAUUCAAGUCCAACACACCUUGGUAGCCCCUUCAUUAAGGGUAUUUUGGAGGUCUCACAUGGUAAAUUUACACACCACGGCAGUCCUCUCAUUAAGGGAAAAGUGAUUUUUUUGUCUUCUUUUGUAAUAUAUUAUAAGUAGGACUUUUUAGGUUUUUUCUCAUUAGUUAUUGAAUGAUAAAACUAUGAGAUAUUGAAAAUCCUCUCUCUUGAGAGUAGACCACCUUAGUGUAGUUCUUAAUUAGGGCUUGGACUAGUCAUUAUAGCUUAGGGUUUGAAAAAACCAAUAUUGUUCUUUGCUUGGAAACGAUGGAUCUUGGGGUGAGUAGAUUCCCUUGGCGGCCACAGUAAGAACUUGGUUCUUGUUAACGUACUUUGUAGAGGUUUUAGAGUUUAAUAUACUGUUUAGUUGCUACA